rnacentral:rRNA from 1 species
CGGCCGCGGUAUUUUGACCGUGCAAAGGUAGCGCAAUCACUUGUCUUUUAAAUAGAGACCUGUAUGAAUGGCUAAACGAGGGCUUAACUGUCUCCCCCUUCAAGUCAGUGAAAUUGAUCUAUCCGUGCAGAAGCGGGUAUAAACAUACAAGACGAGAAGACCCUUUGGAGCUUAAGGUACAAAAUUCAACCACGCUAAGCAACUUAAUAAAAAGCAAAAACUUAAUGGAUAAUGAAAUUUUACCUUCGGUUGGGGCGACCACGGAGGAAAAAUAAGCCUCCGAGUGGAAUGGGCCAAACCCCUAAAACCAAGAGAGACAUCUCUAAGCCACAGAACAUCUGACCAAAAAUGAUCCGGCUAAUAAAGCCGAUCAACGAACCAAGUUACCCUAGGGAUAACAGCGCAAUCCUCUCCCAGAGUCCAUAUCGACGAGAGGGUUUACGACCUCGAUGUUGGAUCAGGACAUCCUAAUGGUGCAGCCGCUAUUAAGGGUU